rnacentral:rRNA from 1 species
AGUGGCGCACGGGUGAGUAACGCGUGGGAAUAUGCCCUUUAGUACGGGAUAACCAAGGGAAACUUUGGCUAAUACCGUAUACGCCCUUCGGGGGAAAGAUUUAUCGCUAAAGGAUUAGCCCGCGUAGGAUUAGCUAGUUGGUGAGGUAAUGGCUCACCAAGGCGACGAUCCUUAGCUGGUCUGAGAGGACGACCAGCCACACUGGAACUGAGACACGGUCCAGACUCCUACGGGAGGCAGCAGUGGGGAAUAUUGGGCAAUGGAGGAAACUCUGACCCAGCCAUGCCGCGUGAAUGAUGAAGGCCUUAGGGUUGUAAAGUUCUUUCGUUGGUGAAGAUAAUGACGGUAACCAAAGAAGAAGCCCCGGCUAACUUCGUGCCAGCAGCCGCGGUAAUACGAAGGGGGCUAGCGUUGUUCGGAAUCACUGGGCGUAAAGCGCACGCAGGCGGUCAUGCAAGCCAGAGGUGAAAUCCCGGAGCCUAACUCCGGAACUGCCUUUGGAACUGCAUGGCUAGAGUCUCGGAGGGGGUGGCGGAAUUCCUAAUGUAGGGGUGAAAUCCGUAGAUAUUAGGAGGAACACCGGUGGCGAAGGCGGCCACCUGGACGAGUACUGACGCUCAUGUGCGAAAGCGUGGGGAGCAAACAGGAUUAGAUACCCUGGUAGUCCACGCCGUAAACGAUGAGUGCUAGGUGUU